AAAUUGAAGAGUUUGAUCAUGGCUCAGAUUGAACGCUGGCGGCAGGCCUAACACAUGCAAGUCGAACGGUAACAGGAAGCAGCUUGCUGCUUCGCUGACGAGUGGCGGACGGGUGAGUAAUGUCUGGGAAACUGCCUGAUGGAGGGGGAUAACUACUGGAAACGGUAGCUAAUACCGCAUAACGUCGCAGGACCAAAGAGGGGGACCUUCGGGCCUCUUGCCAUCAGAUGUGCCCAGAUGGGAUUAGCUUGUUGGUGAGGUAACGGCUCACCAAGGCGACGAUCCCUAGCUGGUCUGAGAGGAUGACCAGCCACACUGGAACUGAGACACGGUCCAGACUCCUACGGGAGGCAGCAGUGGGGAAUAUUGCACAAUGGGCGCAAGCCUGAUGCAGCCAUGCCGCGUGUAUGAAGAAGGCCUUCGGGUUGUAAAGUACUUUCAGCGGGGAGGAAGGUGUUGUGGUUAAUAACCACAGC
rnacentral:rRNA from 7 species